ACUCAAAUGAAUUGACGGGGACCCGCACAACUGGUGGAGCGUGUGGUUUAAUUUGAGACGAAGCAAAAAACCUUACCAGGGUUUGACAUGAUACCGUUUUAUGCCUAUGGAAACACUGGCAGAUCCGCAAGGAUGGUACCACAGGUGCUGCAUGGCUGUCGUCAGCUCGUGUCGUGAGAUGUUCCCUUAAGUGGGGAAACGAGCGCAACCCCCGUGAAAUGUUACAUAUUCAUUUCAGACGGUCCCGAUCAUAUCGGGAAGGAAGGAGGGGAAGACGUCAAGUCAGCAUGGUCCUUACACCCUGGGAUACACACACCCUACAAUGGCGAAGAACAAUGGGCUGCAAGCUAGCAAUAGCAAGCUAAUCUCAGAAAUUUCGCCUCAGUUCAGAUUGGGGGCUGCAACCCGCCCCCAUGAAGUCGGAAUCAGUAGUAAUCGCGGAUCAGAAGGCCGCGGUGAAUACGUUCUCGGGUCUUGUACACACCGCCCGU
rnacentral:rRNA from 1 species